AAUAAUAUCAAUAUUUACUAAUAGAAGCAUUAUUAAUACAAAUAUUACUAAUAUAUUCUAUUCAAAAAGAAAAUUUAUACACUAUAACAAACGACUUCUACGUUUCAAUAGAAAGAAUAUAUACAAAAGAAAAGUUUGAUAAAAAAUUUACAAAAAUAUAUUUUACAAAUAUAUUUUAUCAUAACAAUAAAAACAUUUACUGCUCAAACUUCCUACUCCAACAUAAAUUUUAAAACUUAAAAAUUAUAAUCCACGUAUUUUAUUAUUUGGCUAUACUGACACGAGUCUUGCAGUUCUAGUAUAUAUAUAUAUAUAUAUAUAUAUGUGAGACUUAAAAUAAUAAUAAAAAGCUAAGAACAAAGGUUACAAGAACUAUGUAAAGGAAUAAAGUUACAAAUCGAUAACAAAUACUGGACAUCAUCAUAAACUUUUUAAUGUUAGCGAAAAAACUUGCCAAAGUCAAUGAUCCCAAAAAAAAAAAAAAAUAUAAAGUGAAGGAUAAAUAAAUAAAAAAAGUACCCUACCACAAAUAAUUGCAACAAGGAGAUGAGUUAGUAUAUAAAAAUAAUAAAAAUAAGAAAAAACAAUCACAAUGAAACAACACGUACAGUGAACAAAACAAAAACUACAUAACUAGAGGUCAACUUCACAGAUUCUAAUAACAGCCAACAAAAAUAUAAUGAAACUCUCAAAAAAAUUAAUAAAUCAUAAAAAGAAUAUCAAAGUGCAAUCAGAUCUGUGCAAAAAUAAGCAUAAUAAUAAUAAUAAUAAUCAAAAUAUCCGAUUAGCCGGAGAAGAGAGUCGGAACUCUUCCGAAUCCCGUGGUGAACGACGGAGGCGGCGGAGAGGGCUGUUUCGGGCUGGAGCAAGUCGGCCAUCAACUCCGGCGAGCCAGCCGCGGUGUAUGAACAGAUGGAGAGAGGGAGAUACGAGAAGGGAGAGGCGGUGUGGAGGUUUCUUGGUGGUCGCCGAAUCUGGGGGCGGCAGUAAACAUGGAAAAUAGGGCGUGAGGUGUGAAAAGAGAGAAACAAUAAGACAGAAUGGGGUACGGCUGGUGAGGAAGAGGAGAAAAGCGUGGGUUUGUGUGUUAAAAAUGUGUGCGUCAAUAUAUCAAAUAUAUUCCUUCCCCUCUUUAUAAUACAAAAUAAUUUUCCUUCUUAUUCAAAAAAUUUAAAAUUAAUUCUUUUUUUUUAUUCAUAAAUAAAAAUAUCUCUUUUAAUUAAUGGAUAAAAAAAAAUUUAUUCAAAAAAUAAAAAUUUCACUCCAUCACCUCAGAUGUCUAUCUUUUAAAAAGUUGGCAUGAUGUUGAUUUGAUUGAUUUUUAUUUUCUUUAUUAAAAUAAUUAAAUCGAUAUUAUUAUUUGCAGAUUAUAUAAAAUAAAAUAUAAAAAUAUGAAUAUCGAUAUAUAAUUAUAGAAAAAUACAAAUAACAAAUAUAAUAAAAUUAUCUAAAAAUAUAUUAUAUUAUAAACAAUUAAAAUUAUAACGUGCGAUAAAAAAUUGCAAUGUUAUGCUAUGUACGGAUGCAAAUAACUAUGCAAAAAUUUAAAAUGAUAAUAAAAUAAUAAAAAGUAUAAAGUUUUAAAAACUAAGGAUAAUUAUUAAUAUUAUGCACAAUUAAAAUAUGACAAAAUAUUCUAAAAAAUGAUGAUUAUUGUUAAUUUGCCAAAAAUUUUUAAAAAUGUGUGAAAAUUUAUCUUUUAUGCACUUUAACAAUCAUAAAGCCUAAAAGUGUUAAUUUUAAGUUUAGAGAGCCAAAAUUAGGUGUCAACAGUUUGCUCUUUUUCGUUUGAAGAUAAUGUAAAAGUCUUCAAACGAAAACGUUGAUCUAUAGCCAAUUUUGCUCGAUAAAAAAUUAUUUUGAUUAAAAAAUUCAAGCGAACUCCUAUUUAGAGUCGCCUACAUAUUUCAAGUUGCAUAAGGAUUAGGUUGGAUAUAGUUGCGAAACUAUCCCAACAUGUCUUAUUUUGGAUUGGACAAACCCAAUGCGUCUUCAAAUUUUGCAAAAUUUAUAAAACUGAAACGCGGUAGACAAACAAAUAACUAAGCUUGAUAAUUUUUUUUAUUUUUCCAAGAAAUUAAAAAAAAUGACAUAUAGUGUUUAACUAAAUUAAAGAUAAAUAAAUAAAGGCAUUGCAAGAUUUUAACUAAAGAUAAAUAAAAUACUCAAUUAAAGACAGACAUACAUAAAAGGUCUUAUUAAAGGGCAGACUAACCCAAAAUGUCCUAUUUUAGGAGGGACGUACCCAAUUUAUCCACAAAUUAUAUGCUUGCAAAUGUAUCAAACUAAAAAGUGCUAAUCAAUAAAACACGAACGAAAAAUUAAACUUAAUUUUUUUCUUCUCUUUUUUUGUUUUUUAGAAUUUAAGAUAGCAUGAAGUGCUUAACUAAUGAAGAAAAAAUAAUACAAACAAAGAUAACAUCCAGUGCUUAAAUUGUAAAAAUAAGUGUAUUACAAUAUAUGCAGAUAAAGAAAAAAUAUGCAGUGCUUAAAUAACAACAUAAAUACUUUGCGAUGUGCAAGUAAAUAUAAAAAUGAUAUGCAGUGCUUAAAUUAUAAAACAAAUGCAUUGCGAUGUGCAAUUAAAUAUCAAGAUGACAUACAUUGCUUAAAUGAUAAAACAAAUGAGUUGCAAUGUUUACUAGGCGUGCAGUGCCUACAUGAUAAAAUGAAUGCAUUGCGGUAUAUGCAUGCGGUGAUUAAAUUCAUAGUAAUAUGCGCCGAUAAAGGCAAAUUGCAAUAUUUGCGAAGCGUGCAGUAACUAAAUAAUAAAAUAAAUGCAUGUGAUAUGUGCGUGCAAUGCUUAAAUGAUAAAUGCAUUGCGAUAUGUGCAGACAAAGACAAAAAUAAUAUGUGGUGCUUAAAUAAUAAAAUAAAUACAUUACAAUAUGUGCCUGAUAAAGGCUAAGAUGACAUGCAGUACUUAAAUGAUUAAAUAAAUGCAUUACAAUAUUUGUGAGGCGUGCAGUGCCUAAAUGAUAAAAUGAAUGUAUUGUGAUAUAUGCGUGCAGUGCUUAAAUAAUAAAAUAAAUGGAUUGAGAUAUGUGUCAGCAAACACAAAGAUGACAUGGAGUGCUUAAAUAAUUAAAUAAAUGCAUAUCAAUAUUUGUGAGGCAUGCAGUGCUUAAAUGAUAAAAUAAAUGCAUUGUAAUAUGUGCGUGCUGUGCUUAAACAAUAAAAUAAAUGUAUUGCGAUAUUUGCUAGGCGUGCAGUGCCUAAAUAAUAAAAUACAGUGCUUCGAUAAUAAUAAAAAAUACAUUACGAUAUGUGUCAAUAAAGGCAAAAAUGACAUGCAGUGAUUAAAUGAUAAAAUAAAUGCAUUGCGAUAUUUGCAGGUAAAGGCCAAGAUGACAUGCAGUGCUAAAAGAUGAAAUAAAUGCAUUACAAUAUUUGCGAGCGUGCAAUGCCUAAAUGAUAAAAUAAAUUCAUUGCGAUAUGUGCGUGCAGUGCUUUAAUGCAUAGCAAUAUGCGUCAAUAAAUACAAAGAUGAUAUGCGAUGAAUAAAUAAUAAAAUAAAUGCAUUGGGGUGCUUGCAAAUAAAGGCAAAAAUUAAAUACAGUGCUUAAAAUGAUGAAAUAAAUGCAUUGUGAUGCAUGCAAGUAAAGACAAAGAUAGGUUGUAGUGCUUAAACUAUAAAAUAAAUGCAUUGCAGUGUGUGCAAAUAAAGGCAAAAAAAAAUGCGAUGCUUAAAUGAUAAAAUAAAUGUAAUGAAAUGUGUGCAAAUAAAAGCAAACAUAAAAUGUAGUGCUUAAAUGAUAAAAUAAAUACAUUAUGGUAUGUGCAAGCAAAACAAAAAAAAUACAGUGCUUAAAUAAUAUAAUGAAUGCAUUGCGAGAUUUGCAAAUAAAGGCAAGAAAAACAUACAAUACUUAAAUAACAAAUGAAAAAACAAAUACAUUGUGUUGUGUACAAUUAAAGACAAUGAUAGCAUGUAAUGCAAAAAGAAAUAAAUGAAGUGCGAUAUGUGCAAGUAAAGGCAAGCAAGUAUAAAUAUUUUAUUGAAGAAAAACAUGCAUAACUGUUUUGUUGGAGUGCAGACUAACUCAAUUAUCCUAUUUUACGGUGGACAAACUCCUAUAAAAAAUAAUUACUGAGCAAGGAGUUAUUCGAAAAUGAAAGUGUUCAUAUAUUUCCGAUGUUGCUUUCAAAAUUGGCCUAGUAUCGAGAUGUGAGAUGUUGGGGAAUGCAAGAUUGUAUACUUACUGGGGAGAAAGAGUGAUUAUGGGGUUGUAAUGACCGAACUCUGAAUAGAGCUUCCUACAUAUCUCGAGAGUCACGAAAAUCAGGUUAAUGUAUUUCGAAAUAAGAAAAGAGGAUAAAUUUUGAGGCGAAUUCUCAAAAUUAGCCCCAAUGUAUUAUUUAUGCUGACAUCGCUUCUUUGAAAGGAACUUAAAAACAAUCUUGUUAUUAAAACAAAGUGCAUGACGUCUCCCGAUUAUCUAUGAGGAAUUGAUAAUGAAUGACGUCUUCGAUUGCUUACGGAGAUUUGAUGCAUAACAUCUCCAAUUAUUUAUGGAGGAUAAUGUUUAUUGUCGUCUUCUACUGUCUAUGAAGACUGAGGCCCUCAAAUAAUGAGGUGACUAAAUCUAAUAGCCUCUCAAUUGACAGGGCUAUUGAAAUGCAAAAGAUUCUAGAUUGGCAGAACAAAUGUAAUAUCCUCUCAAUUAGCAGGGCUAUAUACAAAAAUGUAAAAAAUACUAAAAAAUUAACGCUUAAUUGAAAAAUAAAAUACCGAUAUUUUAAAAGUAUAUACUUGAAAGAAAAGAGUCAAAUGCCCGACUUUUAAAAUUGGGCGUCUUUAAUAAAAAGCAAAAAUACAUGUAUGUGAAAGUAGACAACUUGAAUGAAAUUUAAAAAAAUACCCGUAUUUGAAAGUGGACGUUUUGAAAAAAAAAUUGCAUUUUCUUGGUAAAAAUUGCUGAAAGAUGAAGAAGACAAGAUUGUGUCUUGACUUCAGCUGGUACCAAUAAUUAGUAGUAUGCUUAAGAAUUUCCUCAUCUCUUUCCCAUCUAACUGAGAUCGACUUCAGGGUAAUUCCUAUAGUUUUAAGUGGUACCUCAGACACACCUAAGUAUCAAUAAGAUUUUUUGUCCUGCUUCAAAUAAAUAUUUUGAGCUAUGCCUAUUCUCAUGCUUUAAAUUUCAUCUCCUGAAAGAAAGUUCUAUUUCGCACAUAUUUGAAUAAUUUUCUUUUGAAUAUGGGAACGUCUAGAAUAAUACGCUCACACUCAGAAAGAAAUUCAUUGCAUGCAAUUGCGAUAUCAUAGGCUUGAUCUUUAUGUGAGUAUCCACUAAUGUGAAAACACUUGAAGUAGAAUCUCGUAGGACUUACUAUCGGCUUGUAAUAUAGGCUUGGAGACGGGUAGGAUGAUAUUAAGAUAAAAGUGACUAGUUCCUCAAUGAAUAUUGCACUGUAUUUUGUGUUUUCAAUAUUUGUUGUGCUUUGACGCGUGAUCUACUUUGUUGUGAUGUGUUAUCCCUCGUUUUGUAUUUAUCUCGACUUUUUUUGAACCUUGUGUUGGAGCUUUUAUCCCUUUUUUCAACAAUUUUUUUUUCUCAUUUUUUUGUGAGGAUUUUUCUCCUUUGAAGUCAUUUUUAUUUUUGUUCAUUUGAGACAAUAUAUCAUUUGCAUUUUGCGCCUUUGAUCUUGAAUCUUUAUCCGCAAUUUGCACGUAUUUAGUGCGCUCAUGGAGGUAGGUCCAAGAGAGGCAUAAUGUAUGUAAACACUCAAAAAGGCAUAGAUUCAGAUGCGGUUGUCCAAAGAAAAGGGUUCAGGCUCAAAAGAGGAAAUGCUAGGGGUUAAUGUCAUUUUAUGGGCUAUAUUUGUAAAUACGAAUAUACAAUAUGUAUUGAAAUAAUACAAUGCGUAUGUUAUCGUAAAAAUAUAUAUAAACAAUAUAUAUAUAUAUAUAUAUAUGUGUGUGUGUGUGUGUGUGUAAAGACAAAAUUGAAUGAAGAAAAAUUAUUUUAAGGAAAAAAACUACGUAAUAUUUAUUAAUGUAAAAGGUGUGAAUUAUUUGAUUAAAUAUCUAAAUAAAUUUUAAUAUAAAUAUUAAAGGCCUAAAUUUGCCUAACGCGUGAUGAGAAUUAAAAAAUAUUAGAAGAUUAUAUUAAAAAUAAAAACUAUGCAAUAUCAUUCAAUGUAUAAGUAUGAAUUAAAUAAGUAUCUAAAUUAAUUCAAUUUUUAAUAUAACUAUUAACGGCCUAAAUUUGCCUAAACGCGUGGUAAAUAUUUGUAUAAAAGCAUUCCCGCCCAAUGCCUCAAAAAUAGAAUUUUCACUAUAACUGAUAUUUUGUACAAGUGUAAAAAUAUAAAAAUUAAAAUCUUCUUUGCAUGUCAUUCCCGAUAAAUAUUCUCAAUAACUUGUAUAAACACUUGUAGUAAAAUGUUAGUAACAAAUAAACAACUAUCAAAAUAAAUUGAGAACAUAUCUGUACAUAUAUGUAUAAAAAACAUAUAAUUUUCAUUAAAAGAUGGGCUCAAAUUAAUUAGAUUUUAAAUACGACAUGACUACGAAGUGGUUGCUGAUUUAUUAGCCAUCCUAAAUUGUCUUGCCAAGAUACGAAUCAUAAAACUUUUUGCAUUGUUAUAAAAUUUUUGUUAUCGCCCAAAUUUAUUUAUUUUAUUAUGUAUUUAUAUAUGUAAUAUCUUUGAUAAAAUAAAAUCUGUCUUUUGUAAUGGGAUAACCUUAAAUAUUCAGAUGGAGAGAUAAUUUUACUACUAUUUAACAUAUAUGUAUCUGAGACUUAAAAUAAUAAUAAACAACUAAGAACAAAGGUUUCAAGAAGCUAUGUAAAGGAAUAAAGUUACAAAUCGAUAACAAACACUGGACAUCAUCAUAAACUUUUUAAUGUUAGUGAAAAAAUUUGCGAAAGUCAAUGAACCAAAAAAAAAUAUGUAAAAGACAAUAUAAAGUGAAGGAUAAAUAAAUAAAAAAAGUACGCUACCACAAAUAAUUGCAACAACGAGAUGAGUUAGUAUAUAAAAAUAAUAAAAAUAAGAAAAAACACCUACAAUGAAACAACACGUAUAGUGAACAAGACAAAAACUACAUAACUAGAGGUAAACUUCAUCGGAGAUUAAGUCUGUCAAACGAGUCGAGUUGACCUGAUCCAACCCGAUCGAAUUAGCCCGUUUAAGAAAAUCGACCCAGUUUGAUCCGGCUCGAUUAGUCCAUGAGCUGUAGAGUACUGGAUUUUGGAUUGGUUUAUUUUUUUAGUUGGGCCCGAUUAACUCCGCCCAGACCAAGUCCGGUCCGAACCCGUCGAUUAACUGGUCCGGAUUCAUUUUUUUUUUUUAAAAAGUGGGUUUUGGUCCGUUGGACCCAAACUAGCCGUUGGCCCAACGGCUGUAUAGCUCUUUUUUGGUCCAAACGGCUAGUUUGGCAUUUAUUAUUAAUUUUUUUUUUACUUUUAAAAUUAUUUUUUAAUCCCAAAAAAUUUUUAUAAAUACCUUACACUUUCAAAUCAUUUUCACACAAUUUUUCAUUCUCUCAAUUCUCAUUCUCUCUCAAAUCUCAAUUCUCAACAUUCUAUAUAUUUAAUUUUCUAAAGUGCUCACUUUAAUUUUUUAAUUUGGCGAUUACAAAGUACGACUGGAAGUUUCUAAAGUCGCAAUCUUCGGAUACUUUCAAAAUUUGAUAUUGUCGUUCCAUCUCUUACAUUUAAUUUUUAUUUAGUGUAUUAAUUGUUGAAUAUUUAAUUUUAUUAUAUUUCUGUAUUUUGAAUUUUUUUAGUUUAAUUUAUAUUAUGGAUAAAUUAAGAAACCUCAAUACUAAAGGUGUUAAAAUUUUUUGUUCUGGAAGUGGUAGUGGUAAUAAAAAGUGAAUUACUAGCAGUAGAGGUACUUCAAGUAGUAGAUAUACCCGUAUGCCUCUGACACCGCUUAGUCAACCUUUUGAGGAAGAAAUAAGCGUACCUUUAGGUGUAGGUGCCCACGAUAUGAAUUGUGUAGAAGCUCAGGAAAAUUAUGGUAUAGAAGAAGAAAAUAAAGUAGAUGCGGUUAAUUUAGACGAAGAUGAUAAAAAUAUUGGUGAGACACCCGCAGUAAGAAAUGCUAACGUUAGAUCUAAAUUGGUUAAUCUCCCUCCUCGUCUUCCUCGUGCCCCAAGAGCUCGUAAAACAACUAGUAUUACAUGAUAGUUUUUUUAACGUAUAUCAAAUAAUGAGGUGCAAUGUUAUAUUUGUCAACAAAUAUAUAAGCAUAAAAGCGGAGGCAAGAAAGGGGGUACAGGUACGUUAAUGAGACAUAUAGGCGAUGCUCACGAAAGAAAGUUAAAUAUUGCACGAGGUGGUGCGGAUAUUAGUAGGCCAAUGCAAACUAGAAUGGACCUAGCAAUCGGUCAGCUAAUGAAGAAGUAUAAUAAAUUGAGGGACCUAAAAGAAAUAGCUAAAAUGGUAGCUGUGGGUUGUUUGCCUUUUAGUUUUCCUUCUUCUGAUGCCUUGAUUCAUUAUAUUCAAGCAAUUUAUAAUCCUAUGUUUAGUGGUAUUCCUAAAAGUACUUGUCGGGCUGAUAAUUUUUAGACUUCAUUCACAAUAUUGUUUUUAUUUAUCAACAUUGUUAAAAAAUAUUCAAUGUAGAAUGUCCCUAACUUCUAAUCUUGGGCGUGCUAUAAAUAAAAAUAAUUAUUUAACUAUUACUUAUCACUAGAUAGAUAGUAGUUUUAUUAUGCAAAAACGUAUUCUUGCUUUUUUAUAUGAUGAAAAUCGUAAACAUACUGGAGAUUUUAUUGUUGAUUCGAUUGCUAAAGUUGCAGAAUUUUAUGGUAUAGAAAAUAAAAUCUUAUGUAUCGCUUUUGAUAAUGUUUUUAACAACAAGACUGCUAUAACAAAAUUAAAAUCUAAGCUAUCUCCAUCGUUACCUGAAAUUUUUCAUAUUAAGUGUGCAUGUCAUAUAUAUAAGUUAAUUGUAAGAGAUAGUCUUGAGUUUUUUGAGUUUUAUAUUGAAAAAUUAGGCUUGCCGUUGGUUUUAUUCAAGAAAAUAAUCGUAGAAGUAGAAUUAGAGAUUUUAAACUUAAAUAUGAAUAAAAUGGACUUGCACCGAUCUUGAUGCCUGAAGAAUGUGAAACUAGAUGGAAUUCUACGUAUGAUUUUUUUAAAAACUUGUUAUAAAUAUAGAUUUCCUAUUACACUAUCUUUUAACCAAUAUUGUGGUUCGUUUGUUGAUUCUACUGAUUGCAUGUUACAUGAUUCUGAUUGGGUUGUAAUUAAUGAUCUUGGUAAGUUUUUGAAAAAAAUUUAUAUAGCUACGGUUGAAUUUUUCAAUGCUUGUUAUCCUACUGUUUGUAAUAUUUUGGCAUAUAUAGCCGAUAUUUCUGUUUUACUCAAAGAACAUAAAAAUAAAGAAGGUUACAAAGAUGUAGUUGGUGCCAUGUUUGCUAAAUUUUAAAAAAUAUUUUUUUUGAUUCCCCUUAUUUACUUGGUUGGUGCUAUGCUUAAUCCGUGCAUGAAAUAUAAUACUAUGUGCCACUUUAGUACUAUUAUUUACGCUAAUUUAGAAAUAAAUAUUAAUAAUGAUUCUCAACAAGUACAACCUAAUUUGUGGACGGCUAUGGGUGAUGUGAAUGAAUACAUAGAUAAAUUAUAUAAUCAAUAUGUUGAUUUAGUUGAUUUAGCCGUACCUACAAAUAUCACUCCAACUGUCGCUCCUCAUCCUCUCGAGUAGACGUCAUCUUCUAAAAGGUCGGCACAUUGUAGGUUUCCUAAUUACUUUUAUGAAUUAUAUUGUUGGAACAGUGUUGAGGAGGGAGUUUACACAUCAACUUAUCGGGUAGAGCUUAAGUAUUAUCUUAGGUCGCCGCUAAAGGAUCGCAGACGACGGAUCAAUGCGUUGGAUUAAUGGAGGAGUAAUGAAACACGAUAUCAUGUGCUUUCAAGAUUAGCUAGAGAUAUCUUGUAUGUUCCAAUGUCAACUGUUGCAUCGAAGAGCGCUUUUAGUCAAGGAUGACAGCAACUUGGAGACAGCCGACAUUCAUUGGGAAACAAUGCAAUGAAUGUUCUUGUUUGCCUCAAAGAUUGGAUUAGAGCCGAACGAAGAAAUCAAGGAAUGAAAGUGAAGCCGAACGACGAGCAGAGACUUGAAGAAAUUAUGACUUCAUGGGAGAACUCAGCAGAAUCAAGUUCAAUGCAAGAUUUUGCCCCCGUUAACUUUGACUAUCCUAUGCAAGUUCCCGUUAAUAUUAACAUUAAUGAAUUGGAGAAAAUGAUGCAAAAUUUGUAGAUUUUUUAUUCAUGUAAAUUAUAAAUUUUGGAUCAUUUUGCAAUAAAUAAAAUUCAGCAUUCAUUCAUUCCUUAGUCCUUACUUUGUAAUUUUUCCAUUUAGUGAUUUAAAUUGAAUUUCUAGUAUAAAUUAAAAAUUUAGUUUUAAUAUAUUAUUAAUUUACUAGUAAGUAUUAUACUAUUAUUAAUUUAUUAUAUUAAGUAACAUAUGUUUUAUUUAAAAUAGUGUAUAUAUGUAUAUAUGUUUUCUAAAAUAGUAUAUAUUUAACGUAUACAUGUGUAUAUGUUUUAUAAAUUAGUAUAUAACUAUAUAUAUAUAGCAUGUGUGUUCAUAUAUUAUAGUAUAUAUAUAUAUUGUAGUAUAUUUUAUUUAAAGUAGUACAUAUAUAUAUUGAAUGGUACGUAUAUAUGUGUAUAUAUUUUCUAUAAACAUAUAUAUUUGUUUAUUUUAUUUAAAGUAAUAUAUAUAUAUUGAAUGAUACGUAUAUAUGUGUAUAUAUCUUCUAUUGAAGUAUAUAUUUAAUGUAUACAUGUGUAUAUAUUUUAUAAAUUAGUUUAUAAUUACAUAUAUAAUGUGUAUAUAUUGUAGUAUAUUUUCUUUAAAGUAGUACAUAUAUAUUGCAUGAUACGUAUAUAUGUAUAUAUAUUUUAUAAAUUAUUAUAUAUAUCAUUAUAUUGUAGCAUAUAUCUUAUAGUAUAUGUUUUAUUUAGAGUAAUAUAUAUUUAACUAAUGUAAAGUCGUAUACACAAUUACAUGUGUAAUUGUAUAUAUACGUAUAUAUUUUUAAAAUUUUAAUGUAGUAUAUAUUAUAUAUAUAUAAUUAAUAUAUUGUUUAACAUAUUUAAAAUGUAUAUAAGUUGGUAUAUAUAGCGUAAAUUGGAAAAAAAUUGUUUUUUUUAUUUUUGACUGAGUUUAAGUGGUUUAGAUCAGAUUGGACUAAAUGAGCUAAAAGAUUUACUGUUGAACACGGACCCAGCCCACCUAACCACAACCCGGCCCACAACCCAGCUAAAUUUUACGGGCCAAUUCCGGGUUAACCUGGCCCAACCCACUUGACACACGUACCAGAGAUGCUAAUAACAGUCAACAAAAAUAUAAUGAAACUCUCGAAAAAUUUAAUAAAUCAUACAAAAAAACAUCAAAGUGCAACCAGAUCUGUGCAAAACUAAGCAUAAUAAUAAUAAUAAUCAAAAUAUCCAAUUAGCCGGAGAAGAGAGGAGCGGUGACUGAAAGUGGAAGAGGCGAAACUCUCCGAAAUCGGUGGUGGACGAUGGAGGAGGUAUAUUUUGUGAGGGUGGCGCUGGGAUUGCAUUUUCGUGGCCGUUUUGGCGGUGGUGGUGGCUGUUUCGGGCUGGAGCUCGCCAGCCAUCAACUCCGGCGAGCCAGCAGCGGUGGAUGAACAGAUAGAGAGAGGGAGACGCUAGAACGGAGAGGCGGUGUGCGGCUUUCUUGGUGGUCGCCUAAUCUGGGGGUGGCACUGAACAUGGGAAAAAGGGCGUGAGGUGUGAAAGAGAGAAAAGAUGAGAGAGAAUGAGGUACGACUGGUGAGGAAGAGGAGAAAAGCGUGGGUUUGUGUGUGUUAAAAAAUGUGUGGGUCAAUAUAUAAAAUAUAUUCCUUCCCCUCUUUAUAAUACAAAAUAAUUCUUCUUUUUAUCCAAAAAAAAUUAAAAAUUAACCCCUCUUUUUUAAUUCAAAAACAAAAAUAUUUUUUUAACUAAUGUAUAAAAUUUUUUACCCAAAAAAUAAAAAUCUCAACCCAUCACCUCAAAUAUCUAUUUUUUAAAAAAUUGACAUAAUAUUGAUUUGACUGAUUUUUGUUCUGUCUAUUAAAAUAAUUAAAUUGAUAUUAUCGUUUGCAGACUAUAUGAAAUAACAUAUAAAAAUAUAAAUACCGAUAUAUAAUUACAGAAAAAUACAAAUAAAAAAAUAAUAAAAUUAUCUAUAAAAUAUAUUAUUCUAUAAAUAACUAAAAUUAUAAUGUGCGAUAAAAAAUUGUAGUGUUAUGCUACGUACGGAUACAAAUAACUUUACAAAAAUUUUAAAUGAUAAUAAACUGAUAAAAAAUUUAAAAUUUUAAAAACUAAGGAUAGUUAUUAACAAAUUAUGCACAAUUAAAAUAUGAAAAUUAAUUGACAAAACAUUCUAAAAAAUAAUGAUUAUCGUUAAUUUGCCAAAAAUUCUAAAAAAUGUGUGAAAAUUUAUAUUUUAUGCACUUUAAUGAUCAUAAAGCCUAAAAGUGUUAAUUUUAAGUUUGGUAGAGUGUAUAAGAAUAAUAUUGAAUAAGUUGUAUUAGUAGUGCUUGCAAUAAUAAUGCUUGCAUUUGUUAUGCUGGUAUUAUUUAUACUGACAUUAUUUUUUAUACACGAUUUGAUGUGAUGUAUUAGAAAUAAUAUGUAAUAAAUUAUUUGAAUAAAAUAAUACUUAUUUACAUAAAUAUCCUCCGUCUUUUCAAGUUGCGCUCUCUACGUGUCAAUUGUCUUUAGCUAGAUCUUAGCAAAUAUUGCAGAUUGUUGAAUCAAAUAUUAAAAAUAUUGAAGUCAUAAAAUUUGCAGAUUUCUUUUAUAACUUGAGAAUGCAACCGGGGCAAGAUCCUAUGACGGAGAGCUCUCUACAAAUUAACGUAGAGCAGAAAAAGAUGAAAAAAGGGGUAAAUUUGUCAUUUAAUAAGUUAAUACACGUGCUUAAAGUUUUUGUAUUACUAAUACAUGAGAAAUGCUGUGUAUUACCAAUACACACCUUAAUACAUAGUAGAGUGUAUAACUAAUGCAUGCAUUAGUUAUACAUAUGUUAAAAAUGGUACCAAACAACGUACUAGUAGUACACAUUAACUAAUGCAUGUAUUAUUUUUUUCAAUACAAUGUACCAAACACCUCUAGUGGCAUGACAAAUAUAGCUACGUAUUGUAAAUAAUGUAUUUGGUGGAUGUUCAUAUACUACACAUUGUAAAUUCACAUACUACACAUUCUACAUGUAUUUGAUGGAUCUUCAUAUACUACACAUUGUAGAUUCACAUACUACACAUUCUACACAUACUAGUGUAGCAUGAAGUUUGUGAAUCUAUAAUCACAUAGUUCACAUUUUACACAUACUCUUGCCUAUAAAAGGCAUGGUAUGCUACAUUGUAUAAACACACCAAAGUAGAAGAAAAUAAAAUCUUCUCUUAUAUCUAUCGGUCUCUCUCCCCUCCCCUUUUGUUUUAGUAUAUUUUAGAAUAUUUAUUUACAACACUUUAUCAGCACGAAGUUCUAGCCAAAUUUCUCCUUUUUCAUCCGAACAAGAGAGUUAUGUUUAUUGAUUUUGUUAAUAUUAUUAAAUGGUAACUAGUAAUUUGGUAUGUACCUGAUCCGCUACGUGUGAGCUUUAAACUCUGAAAUUGUUUUUUUUUUUUUUGCAUUAAUAAAUUUAGAAAAAAAUUAUCUUUAUAUUUCACAAUAAAGCUGAAUUAUGGCUUAAACGUCUUUAUAUUGGUAAGAUGUUGGGUUUGAGUCCCAAUGCACUAUUUAAUGAUAAUGAUGGCUAAUGUAAAUGUGCUUUUGGUGAAAAAUGAUAAAACCUGCCAGAUUGAUUUCCUUCAUUCUUUGAUAUAAAUGUGGUAGCCGUGCAUAUAAGUCUAAAAGAAGACAAGUGGUUAAAAGUGCAUGUGGACGUGAAGGAACAAAAUCAUAAUUGUCAUGACCUUGAUAAUAAUAAAAGGAAGAACACUAUGGGUUCUCCAAAUUGUCCUUCAAAAGGCGAAGGUAAUUUUUGUUCACCAUCAAUUUGGUGUAAAAGGAAGUGGACACACGAUUGUUGUGCAACAUAAUUUGAUAGGUUUCACACGGUUGUUGUGCAACCUAAUUUGAUAGGUUUUACAAAUCCUCCAUCAAAAGAGAAAAGGAUAAAAGUGAAGAUACAUUUGACCUUUCAAAGCGAUGUUGAGAUGGACCUAUAAAUAUGAUAAAUGUCAAAAUAUGACAAUGAACUUAUGAAAUAAAUUAUGAAGCACAUAUGAUUCCAAUUCUUGAAAAGAAUGUGGCUCGUGUAAGCAUUGUGAAUGCUUGGCCCUUCUUGAAAGUGAAUGUGUCAAAAUGUGAGGGAAAAAUAUGGAUAAAAUUGUAAUUAUAUAUGGUUGGAUAAAUACCAAAACUCACCUCUAUGGGAGGUUUGAGAAAAAAAAAGGAAGACUUUUAAUUUGGUAUAAAAAGGUCAUUGAUGUUAAAGUAUAUUUUAUCAUGAUCUAUCAAAGGAUAAAAGCAAAAAAUGAUUCUUGCCUAUAAAAGUUUUGAUCAUGACCAAAAUAUGAAUAUUAUGAUGUGGUCGAAUGAAUUUCUCACCGAUCGCAUAAAUAUGAUACGCCAAAAGGACUUUGCUAAAUGUUAUAAUAAAUAAAUUAUUAAAGGCAAAAGUAAAGCAAGAAGGAGGUCUUGCAUAUAAUAAUUUGACUACAAUGAUUAUAAUUUUCUCUCUAAAAGGAGAUGGUCACCAUACGAAUGAUGUUUUGAAAUAUGAGAUAGUACAAAACACCAUUUGUAUAUGUGUGAUAGCCUCGAAAAGCUAAUGUGUUACUACUCGAAGGAAUGAAAUUAUUCUGAUCACUGAAAUUGUAGUAAGUCUCCAAAAGAAACAUUAUAAGUUUCAAAGGAAUUGAUUUUUUUUUAUAUUGAGACUAUAAAUUAUGAAAAAAUUUGUAUCUUCAUAUUACUAUAAUCAAAACGGGUUAUAGAUAUUUAUGGAAAAGGCUACUUGUUUUUCACCUAUUUAUUGAUAUAAAUAUAUGGGCAUGGUGACGGAAUCACAUGCUACAGUAAAUUAAAAGUUUACAAAAAAUGUAUAAGUUGGCAUGAUCGGUUGACCAUCCCGAUUCAAAUGUGAUGCUAAAAUAAUUGAGAAUUCAUGCGAUUUUAUAUUGAAGAAAUAAAAUAUUCUUUAAGAAUUCUCUUAUGUUGCUUGUUAUCACGAUAAAAUAUCAUAGCAGUUAAAGUUAUGAUUGUGUCCUUUAAAUUUUUGGAACGUGCAGCAAGGUGAAUAUGGGCCCAUUCACCUGCCAUGUGGAUCAUUUACUAUUAAAUGAUAUGCAUCUAUGGUUGGUAACAUGCGCUGCUAUCAACUUGCAAUUUGAUUUUUGCAAGGUUGUGUGCUCAAAUUGUUAAAAUAGAGAGCAUGGUUCCAAACUAUACAAGUUGAUAUACUGAUUGGUUUAGCAGAAAAUUGUGUGCCUCCAAUUAUAGCUGAACGAUUGGUUAUGAGAACAAAUUUUUCAAAAAGAAAAUUUGGUAUGAGACGAAUUUAUUUAAAUAUAGCAACAUUUGUAUGCAUCAAGGAAACAAGGUUCCCCUAUAUUAUUGGUUCAGGGUCAGGAGCCAAUUAAAAUCCAUCUAAAAAAGAAUAUAUAUUGAAUGUACAAUAUCCACCACACACAAAGAUGGAUCCCCAAAUAAAGUUGGGGUGAGUGUUAGAUUUCCUAACAUUAGGGGGAGAUAUGAUUAUAGCUGAAAUGUAUGAAAUGAAUUAUCGAGAUCCUCGUAAAAAAAAUAGUGAACUUUAAGUUCAAUUGAAAAUUCAUGAUUUGCAAAAUGUUGCAAGAUCAUUUCCAGACUAAUCCUAUGCUAUAAUUCAGCUAUAAAUGUUCCAAUGAGAAGUCCUUGGAGGACAGAGUCUAUGGCAAGCCUGAAGCGUGACAGACAAAUCGAUUCCAAACAUAAAAUUCUUUGAAGAAGGAGAGGAGCAAAUGAUAAAUAUGAUCAAUGAUAA
rnacentral:lncRNA from 1 species